UCAAAGGAGAAAUCCGCUUUGAGAUGGGCCCGCGGCUGAUUAGCUAGUUGGCGGGGUAACGGCCCACCAAGGCGACGAUCAGUAGGGGUUCUGAGAGGAUGAUCGGCCACACUGGGACUGAGACACGGCCCAGACUCCUACGGGAGGCAGCAGUGGGGAAUCUUCCGCAAUGGGCGAAAGCCUGACGGAGCAACGCCGCGUGAGCGAAGAAGGUUUUCGGAUUGUAAAGCUCUGUGAUAUUAAUGGGAAGGAAUGACGGUACCUGUUGAAUAAGCCCCGGCUAACUACGUGCCAGCAGCCGCGGUAAUACGUAGGGGGCGAGCGUUGUCCGGAGUUACUGGGCGUAAAGAGCGUGUAGGCGGUUGGAAAAGUCAGGUGUGAAAUUCUUCGGCUCAACCGGGGGACUGCGCCUGAAACUUUCCGACUGGAGUUUGGGAGGGGCAACUGGAAUUCCUGGUGUAACGGUGAAAUGUGUAGAUAUCAGGAGGAACACCCGUGGCGAAGGCGGGUUGCUGGACCAAAACUGACGCUGAGACGCGAAAGCGUGGGUAGCAAACAGGAUUAGAUACCCUGGUAGUCCACGCUGUAAACGAUGAGUGCUAGGUGUAGGGGGUAUCGACCCCCUCUGUGCCGCAGCUAACGCAAUAAGCACUCCGCCUGGGGAGUACGGUCGCAAGACUGAAACUCAAAGGAAUUGACGGGGGCCCGCGGUGGAGUAUGUGGUUUAAUUCGAUGAUACGCGAGAAACCUUACCUGGUCUUGACAUGCUGGGAACCCUUAAGAGAUUAGGGGGUGCCUGCUUGCAGGAGCCCAGACACAGGUGGUGCAUGGUUGUCGUCAGCUCGUGUCGUGAGAUGUUGGGUUAAGUCCCGCAACGAGCGCAACCCUUGUUGCUAGUUACCAGCACGUAAUGGUGGGAACUCUAGCGAGACUGCCGGUGAUAAACCGGAGGAAGGUGGGGAUGACGUCAAAUCAUCAUGCCCCUUAUGUCCUGGGCUACACACGUGCUACAAUGGCCGGUACAGACGGAAGCGAAGCCGCGAGGUGAAGCAAAACCGAGAAAGCCGGUCUCAGUUCGGAUUGCAGGCUGCAACUCGCCUGCAUGAAGUCGGAAUCGCUAGUAAUCGCAGGUCAGCAUACUGCGGUGAAUACGUUCCCGGGCCUUGUACACACCGCCCGUCACACCACGAAAGUCUGCAACACCCGAAGCCGGUGAGGUAACCCGUAAGGGAGCUAGCCGUCGAAGGUGGGGCCGAUAAUUGGGGUGAAGUCGUAACAAGGUAACCA
rnacentral:rRNA from 1 species